ensembl:lncRNA
UGGGCGGAGGAAGCGGGGGGCAGGUGCCGGGGCACGGCCGGGGCGGGGCGGGCCGUGCACAUGUGCGGGGCGGACCCGCCGCCAGCCCCGCCCGCCCCGGUGCCGCCGGUGCCGCCCGGCGCGGAGCGGAGCCCGGCGAGGGGCCAGCGAGGAUGGGCACGGAGCCCCGGCGGCAGCUGCCCCGCAGGUCAAUUUUCUAAAUCUCCGUCCGGGGCAAACUCCAGGGAUUAUUCAGGAUGUCAAGGCUUUAACUUUCCUGGCUGUCAGAAAGGUCUGUUGGUUUGGUGCUUUUCUCUCAUUCAAAGCACAAACUCGGAUGAAGUUGUGAAGUGUUUCCAAAGCCUGGUUGCAAAGCGGUUUGGAGCUCGGGGUGCUGCUCAGAUUAGAGCACCCCAAGGUGAGGACAGCAAAGCGAGAAGACAAGGAGCCGGAGCCCGGCUGUGGUGGUGGCAGUGGUUCUGUCCCUCGGUCUGUCUGCGUGAGGCUGGAGGGCUCGGGGGAAGCUCGGGGGAUGCUUUCCCAAGGAAGCAGCUGGGCAGGGCCGGGUGUGCUGCAGCAGGAGCUGGGAUGUGAGCUGGGAUGUGAGCUGGGAUGUGAGCUCAGUGCUCUGCCUUCCCUGGCCCCCUGUGGCCACCCCUGUCCUGCUCCCACCGUUCUGCAGCCGGCUCAGGGCAGAGGGAAGGGCACAAAAUGUGCCGGAGGUGCUUCUUCAGAGGGAGAAAGUGGAGUUCUGCUGUGCCUCGGUAGGGUGGGGGCAGCCCCGCACCUCUGGGCUGUAGGAUGGUGCCGCUGGCUUCUCCCUCCUCCCCUUGGAGACCAGGGCAUCCAGCUGGGACAGAAACCAACCAACAGUGGCCCCGAGUGCCUUGUCGCUGCAUGUGAAAAUGAAGAUGUGGGUUUUGCACUGAGAAAGAAGAACUGAGAGCGGUGGGAAGUGCUGGCAGAGAGGAGCAGCGGCUGCUCCAGCAGGAUGAGCUGCUCUGGCAGGGCAAAGUGCCCGUGCAGCAGCAGCCCCGGGGCUGAGGGAUGCCAGCACCGGUGCUCUGCCUCUGCUGGGGACCAGGGACAGCCCGGCAUGGCGUGGGGACCCUGCCAUGCUGCAGCUCACCCUGGAGUAGUUUCAACUUCUCUUUCCUGGCUGCCCGCUGAGCGCGGCAGGGCUGCCCAGUUUUGCAUUAUUAUUCUGCAAGGGGGAAAUUGUGCCUGAGGGUGUCAGGGGAAAGUGCUCAGGUGAGUGCCCCACACAAAAGGAGUGAGCGGCUCCUUUUGUGUCUGAGCUCUGCUCCCAGCAGCGGUUUGAGUUUCCAGGUGAGAGGAUGGGGAGCGAGGGUGAGGUUUAUAUGGAAACCCUGUCCCCAACUCGCUGCCUGGCAGCUCUGUGCUUUGCUGGUUCGGGCUGGAAAUGUCACUGCCCACGGGAGCUGUGGGUACAAUCCAGGCUCUGCAGCUCUUUCCCUCCUCUCUCCUUUGCGCCACUUCCCUCAGAGGCUCAGGACUCGCCGUCCUUGUCCCGUCUCUCGUGCCCGGUGUGAGGACAGCGUCCCACCCAUCCAAAGCCAUCACCGGGGGCUCCAGGUGACAUCUACAACCCACCCAGGGCCGCGUCACCUGCGUUGGGUCAGGGCUCUUUGGUGACGGGGGUGUGAUCCAAGGACACUCCCGAGGAUGCGGAGAGCUCUCCCCGUGCCGCAGCCCGGAGGGGCGGACAGGACCUGCCAGCAGAGCUCCCGCUGGCACCGAGCCCGCCCGGGCCUCCCGGCUGGGAGCCGCGGCUCCCGAGCGCCUUUCCCAGCACGGAGACCCAACCCCGCCGUCCCCGUCCCUCUGAUCCCCCUUUGGCCGCCAAUUAGCGCGACGUGAGAACUUGUCUCCUGCUGACGCGCCCGUGUGACUCCUCGGAUGCUUUAAUUGCGGUGUUUUUGGCGGCCGGGUGCAAUGAAAUGGUAAUUGUCGUGAUUGUGCGCCGGGCGGGAGCUGAGAGAUGCAGCUCUUUGGCGGAGCCUAAUUAGGAAAUAGGGACACUGUUGGGAACGGCUCUGCGAUGUGAUUUUCCUAAUGAAAGCCGCUGAAUAGGCAGCCUUGUAAUGAAGAACAGCCUCGCAAGGGCACUGCCAAUUGCUCUUCUCUAGUGUUAAUUUUGUAUUUCCUCCCCAUUGUUUCUAAUACCCUCUUGGAAAAGCUUGAAGAUAAAAUGCUUUAUUUCCUUGCGCCUCGUAUCCUGUUUGGCAAGCGGCGAUUGGAGCAUGUGCAUCUGGAAUACAUGAGAGGCCAGGCAGGAGCCCCUUCAGACUUGUUCAUCUCUGAUUUCAAACUCUGCCACUGGAAAAAAAAAAAAAAAAAAAAAAUAAAGCAACUUCAGCUUGCGGCUGCUGGGCUCCGGCGGGCGGAGCAGCGGGACGGCCCGGCCGGGAUGGGGAUGC